rnacentral:rRNA from 1 species
GACAGAGGUGCCGAGCGUUAGGCGGAGUCACUGGGCUUAAAGCGUGUGUAGGCGGGCGGGCAAGUACCUUGUGAAAUCCCACGGCUCAACCGUGGAACGGCUGGGUAUACUGCCUGUCUUGAGCCAACUAGGGGCGAGCGGAACAGACGGUGGAGCGGUGAAAUGCGUAGAUAUCGUCUGGAACGCCGAAGGUGAAAACAGCUCGCUGGGGUUGUGCUGACGCUGAGACACGAAAGCCAGGGGAGCGAACGGG